rnacentral:rRNA from 1 species
CCUACGGGAGGCAGCAGUGAGGAAUAUUGGUCAAUGGUCGGGAGACUGAACCAGCCAAGCCGCGUGAGGGAUGAAGGUACAGAGUAUCGUAAACCUCUUUUGUCAGGGAACAAAGGCGGGGACGUGUCCCCGGAUGAGUGUACCUGAAGAAAAAGCAUCGGCUAACUCCGUGCCAGCAGCCGCGGUAAUACGGAGGAUGCGAGCGUUAUCCGGAUUUAUUGGGGUUAAAGGGUGCGCAGGCGGUCUGUUAAGUCGGCGGUCAAAGCCCGGGGCGAAACCCCGGCCCGCCGUUGAAACUGGCAGUCGCGAGUUGGAGAGAAGUAUGCGGAAUGCGCGGAGGAGCGGUGAAAUGCAUAGAUAUGGCGCAGAACUCCGAUUGCGAAGGCAGCAUGCCGGCUCCACACUGACGCUGAGGCACGAAAGCGUGGGUAUCGAACAGGAUUAGAUACCCCUGUAGUC